CUGCGUACCAUGGUUCAUCAUCCUGGGUGUGGUGGACCUGCUCAUAGAGGUCAUUCUCACUCUCUUCAGACUUCAGAAUUUGUUGUGAAGGGGAUUCUGUUUGUUCAUGAACCAUUUGCGCUGGAGCUGGAGGCGGAAGAUGUUGCGGAAGUGGCUCAGGAGGCGCCGAUUGAGGCAUUGAGGAGUUCGGCGGCCUAAGGAUGCCUUUCUGCGGAAGCUGAAAGGUCUUCUGCGAUUGGUCCUGCAGUCCUUUCUGGAGUGGUGCGAUUUCCACCUGUUCUUCCUGCAGUGGUUUGCAGCUCAGCUCUUGAAUGCUGCAGACGGUUUCUGUCAAUUCU
rnacentral:lncRNA from 1 species